AAUAGGAGGAGGAUCACGGUUCCUCUGGACCCCAUUGGAAGCUCCUACUUGUCUUCCAGGAACAGAAAGGAGGAACCUGAAGAUUUUAAGGAAUACGAUGCAAAGUGAUCAAACUAACAGAUUACAUAUACCGUUACAAAGGACACCUAAUGUUUUGGUCCUUUUUCGCUUGUGUGAUUUUUUUUAUAUAUAUAUAUUUUAUUGAACUUUUGGUUUCUAUUAAGUCAUUGGAUCUCAGGUUUAUAAACUGUGACUUAUUUAUUUGUAUUUAUGUUUUUCCAAUAUUAGCUUACCCACUCCCUCUAGUGGUGUGCAAACUGACAGACACUGUACUGGUGUUGCUGCAAAAUAAAAUGUACAUGAAUAAACUAUUCAAUCAUGUCUAAUGUACUUUCAACUUAUUUUAAAUCACAAAAUACAUGAUGCAUCUUAACACAAAAGUUAGAUUAGGAAAAUAAGACAUUCUAACCCCAAUAAAGAAAAGUUUUAUUUCUCUGGGUAGUUAAAGAAAACAAUAUCAGAUGCAAAAAAACUAUUUGCUUUGCUUUUCUCUUCACUUUCAGAUAUGUACACUUCUCAAAAUCUGUAAUAUAUAUGAAACAUGAAGCGAGAGAAGUCUGGCUUUUGGGGAUUUCCAAUCCCCCUUGCUUCGCAAAUAAAACAAAGGAAAAAAAACUCCAAACAAUAGUCUCCAAACUAUUUCAAAAGAAAGAGCUUGUAGCAGAAAUGAGUAAUCUUUGCCAGUUCUCAGAGUUGAAAACCCCCAAACACUUCUUGAAAACAAUAAUUACAACCAUUUCAUUCGAGGAAAGCUUCAGCAAAGCUCCUAAAUCUAGCAUUCACAUCUUAUUAAACUGAAAUCUUCCAAAAAAUUGAACACAUUGAGAAAGAAAAAAAAAAACACUACGUUGUGCAAGUAAUAAAGACCAAACAGUAUUGAUAGCUUCUUCGAUAAAGUACAUGAGUUAACAUUAAGUAGAAUUAGAUUAAAUUCAUUUUUGAUAUCAAUAAUUGCAACUGAAUGGAAUUCCUGUUUAAAUGACUCGUAUAGCUCUUUAUAUUUGAAUAUCUAAUACGUGUUAGCUGACUGGUCAAGUCCAUUUGGGUUCGAUUUCUUACAGAAAUAUCAAAUGAAGAGGUUGUAAUCAAAUGGUUUUAUGAUCACCUACAGGAAAUGGCACUCAGAUUAACACAUUACAUCUAUUAGUCUUCAAACAAUGGCAUCUAUCCCAAUGAAAAAAAAUCAACUGGACAGUUCACUAAGAAAUAACGCAUUUUCUAGUAACAGCAGUGUCAACAAUUUCUCAUAGCAGCUCUUUGGCAAAAUCAUAACAUUUUUCUGUAUUUUGUAUAGGUUUUUUUUUUUUUUUUUUUAAACUUUUAAAUAGACUCUUAUAGUACCAAAGUAACCAAUAUAGUAUACAUCUGUGAAAAUGUAGUGUGGCUUCUCUAACUUCUCCAAAGGAAAAUAGUGCCACUUACUAAAUAUGUAAGCUGCUUACUUUAAACAAAUGACAAUUUUGUGUGACAAAGAAUAGUGUACGCAUCUGUGGAAUAGUUACAAAUGAGCCAAGAUCAAUUACCAACUCAGGAGGUAAGAGAUCAAGUCAAAUAUUAUUUUUCAGCGAACUCUGCAUUGGAGACUAUUGACUGUUAAACAUGUAAGGAGUAACUGGUCGCCAAAACUAGAACUGCAAAGAAAGAGAGGAAA